UGAUCACAUGAGAAAUAAAGUAAAGCUUCGGCGGUAUAAGAUGAGUGUGCGUCCCAUUAGAUUGUUGGUGAGGUAACGGCUCACCAAGUCGACGAUGGGUAGCUGGCGUGAGAGCGCGACCAGCCACACUGGCACUGAGACACGGGCCAGACUUCUACGGGAGGCAGCAGUAGGGAAUAUUGGUCAAUGGACGAAAGUCUGAACCAGCCAUGCCGCGUGGAGGAUGACUGCCCUCUGGGUUGUAACUCCUUUAUAUGGGAAGAAACCUCUGGAUUCACUCCAGAGCUGACGGUAUCAUAUGAAUAAGCACCGGCUAACUCCGUG
rnacentral:rRNA from 1 species